CUUCUAUUUAUCUAGAGUAAAAUUUGCCUAGUUUGUUGAUAAGGUUCUUCGAUUAGUCUCACUUCAUCUUAAUAAACAGAUCGACGCCGUCACUCUGCAAACAAUCUUCAUCGCCGAAUCACUUGCCUACAGGUAGCUAUGAUGAUAAAAUUGAUGAGUGAGCAAUGUACACGUUGGGAAUGCAUCCAACACGCAUCAAGAUCAGACCAAUAUUGCAGCGAGAGAUGCCUACUAAUAGUUACUAGUCUUUCAGAAUACAACAAAUACUGAAUUUUGACACCAACUCAUAUAUUGUUCACUUACAGAACAUUAUGCUGUCAAAAUUCUGACCUUGUUAAAGGUUAAAAAGAAUUGCGAAGUUUCUCACUUCUCUCAAAAAAAAAAUUUAAAUCCAUGCUAGGAAAUCAAGUAUAGUCUAUAUUUACUUUAUCAGUUUUAUCUCCCAUCCUAUAUAAUGUUAUUGUAUAUCAGUAUAUAUAUUUAGUGACUUUUGAGUUUCAUUGCAGAUAUGUUCCUCGAUUUUUAUCAUGGAAUGCCAAACAACUGGGUGUUCAGUGGCUCAUAUCAUAUUCCUGUAAGCUUAGAUUUCAAGUGGAUAGAAAUUCGUAGCGAAAGGAUGGAUGAAGUGUGGAUAUCAGGUCGUAGCGAGAAGAUUAAUGAAGUGAGACAUUGCGUUUUCAAGCCUUUUUCUACAGAAGUUAAUAAAUGGGAACCCCACCAGUUUUCAAGUCCAGAUGUUAUGGAAAAAGCCGUCUCUGUGAUGCGUUGCCUCAAGAUUAACGAACUUGUCAGGAAAAAAAUGUCCUAAAAGGGCGAGUGAAACUGUCAGAACAAGAAAAUGUCCUAAGAGGGCGAGUGAAAUUGAUGCACCAUUAUCAGAUAAAUCAAAGAAGACUAAUAAAAAACACGUCAAAACAAGAAAAUGGCCUCACAAAGAGAGACUAAUCGAAGAAUCUUUAUCAGCAGAGCAUAAACAAACUGAUUGCUUCAUAAGAUUAUACUCGGAAAUGGAAAGUUUGGAAAGUCAUAGGGCCGUUGCGUUGUUCGCGUCGGCUCAUCAGAACAUCGAUAAGAAGAAUAGCUUUGCAUUUGUAUCUGAGGAGAUACGACGACAGAUGGAGAAUAUCAAAUCACAUAUCCUAACAAACGGGCAAGUUUCUUUAUUAGAUCACACAUAGGUUUUUAUCAUUCCUGUAUAUGUAUAUUAUACGAUGUUAUUAAUUAUUGUAAAGGAAAGUGUAAUAAUCCAGCCAAAUAUACGAGAGAACAUGUAGAAACGGGAAGUUUUUUUGAAAGGGCUGUAGCAUUGUUCUCGUUGGCUCGUAGAAACAUUGAGAAUAGAAUGAAAUCUGGAGCAGAGAUGAAGAAUUCCUCAGAAAUCGUAGCAUGUGUAUCCUCCAAGGAGAUACAUAAAGAGAUGGAGAAUAUUAAGUCCCAUAUCAUUACAAAUAGCAACCAUAUAAAGGUUAAGCUUGAGAAAGACUUUUAGUAUGUUAUGUUACACCCUGACCUUUUAUGUAUUGAUUUCUUG